AUUCAAACGAGCGUGCCUGCGAAUCAAACUGGCCCGUUGCCAAAAAACGCCUCUUUCGAAUUUCGCGCGUUCG
ensembl:ncRNA K08F4.14 ncRNA